rnacentral:rRNA from 1 species
ACCGGCGGAAGGGCUAGUAAUGGUAUCGAACGUGCCCCAAGGUGGGGGAUAGCCGCGGGAAACUGCGGGUAAUACCCCAUGUGCCCUCCGGAGGAAAGCUGAGGCGCCUUGGGAGCGGCGAUACUCCUAUCAGGUAGUUGGCGGGGUAAUGGCCCACCAAGCCGAAGACGGGUAGCGGGUGUGAGAGCAUGACCCGCAGCAUCGAGACUGAGACACUGCUCGGACUCCUACGGGAGGCUGCAGUAACGAAUCUUCCGCAAUGCGCGAAAGCGUGACGGAGCAAUGCCGCGUGUGGGAUGAAGCGGUUUUCCGUGUAAACCACUGUCAGGGUCUAGGAAGAACUGACCGGACCCAGAGGAAGGGGCGGCUAACCUCGUGCCAGCAGCCGCGGUAAGACGAGGGCCCCAAGCGUUAAUCGGAAUCACUGGGCUUAAAGGGUGCGUAGGCGGACCGGCAAGCGUCUUGUGAAAUCCCUCGGCUCAACCGGGGAAUUGCUGGGCGAACUGCUGGUCUUGAGGGAGCUAGAGGAUGUCGGAACGUUCGGUGGAGCGGUGAAAUGCGUAGAGAUCGAACGGAACGUCGAAGGCGAAGGCAGACAUCUGGGGCUCUCCUGACGCUCAGGCACGAAAGCGUGGGGAUCAAACAGGAUUAGAUACCCUGGUAGUCCACGCCGUAAACGAUGUGCACUUGGCCGAUGCG